CCAGGCACAGCCCCUGCUGUGGAACCUCCCUCCAGCCGCUCCCCUGUCCUGUGCCUCCAGCCUUACUGAACAAGGAGUAUUGGUGUUUGCUUGCUCGUUUUACGUUUAACAGUGAAACACCUUCUGUGAUGUAAACAAUGUCAGAGUGUCCUCGCACCCCCUGAUUCCUCCCAAAGCCCAGAAGGUAAAAGACAGCUGCUCUUCAGGUCUUAUGCUGGACAGAGAAUCUGAAUGGCUGUAGAGUUGCCAAUACUUUGCCUUUCUUUAACCCUCACCUUCCCUUCAAAACCAAACACUAGACACAUACUUGAAACGUGAACCUUCUGGAAACCAAGAAGUUGCCAGGACCCUCACCCACUCAGGUGGCUCCAUCACCAGGUGCACUGGAAUUGCGCCUGUGAAAAGAUAUUUCAUCAAAGCAUUCGUGGCAGAAACACACUUAAUCACGACGUUAUCGGUGUCGUGAAUUGAUGUGCCAGAAACACACUGGCUCUCCCUGGAGGCCAGACGUCCAUGUAGAAAUGGCCAGGAACAGCUCAGCCGGCAAACUGCUCCUGCAGAUGUUUCAAUGACUAUGGCUGCUUUUUGCUUAUCCACUCUGGACAGCACUUGGACACAUCCUAAAACACUGGGCCACUGAAUGCGACCCGAGGGUGAGACCACCAUUCUACCAUCCCAACUCAUCCGUGCAUCCACCCGUCCUAACAUCCUACCCCUCAUUCCAGAGGAAAAAAGAAUUAAAGAUAAAAAAGCAUUGUCUACUAUUGUGUCUUUGCUAAGAC